UACGUAGGGGGCAAGCGUUGUCCGGAUUUAUUGGGCGUAAAGAGCGUGUAGGCGGCUUUACAGGUCCGUUGUGAAAACUCGAGGCUCAACCUCGAGACGCCGGUGGAAACCGUAAAGCUAGAGUCCGGAAGAGGAGAGUGGAAUUCCUGGUGUAGCGGUGAAAUGCGCAGAUAUCAGGAGGAACACCCGUGGCGAAAGCGGCUCUCUGGGACGGUACUGACGGCUGAGACGCGAAAGCGUGGGGAGCAAACAGG
rnacentral:rRNA from 1 species